rnacentral:rRNA from 1 species
CCGGAGCUUGCUCCACCGGAAAAAGAGGAGUGGCGAACGGGUGAGUAACACGUGGGUAACCUGCCCAUCAGAAGGGGAUAACACUUGGAAACAGGUGCUAAUACCGUAUAACAAUCGAAACCGCAUGGUUUUGAUUUGAAAGGCGCUUUCGGGUGUCGCUGAUGGAUGGACCCGCGGUGCAUUAGCUAGUUGGUGAGGUAACGGCUCACCAAGGCCACGAUGCAUAGCCGACCUGAGAGGGUGAUCGGCCACAUUGGGACUGAGACACGGCCCAAACUCCUACGGGAGGCAGCAGUAGGGAAUCUUCGGCAAUGGACGAAAGUCUGACCGAGCAACGCCGCGUGAGUGAAGAAGGUUUUCGGAUCGUAAAACUCUGUUGUUAGAGAAGAACAAGGAUGAGAGUAACUGUUCAUCCCUUGACGGUAUCUAACCAGAAAGCCACGGCUAACUACGUGCCAGCAGCCGCGGUAAUACGUAGGUGGCAAGCGUUGUCCGGAUUUAUUGGGCGUAAAGCGAGCGCAGGCGGUUUCUUAAGUCUGAUGUGAAAGCC